AUACGUAGGGGGCGAGCGUUGUCCGGAAUGAUUGGGCGUAAAGGGCGCGUAGGCGGCGCGGUAAGUCUGGAGUGAAAGUCCUGCUUUCGAGGUGGGAAUUGCUUUGGAUCCUGCAGAGCUAGAGUGCGGCAGAGGUAAGGGGAAUUCCCAGUGACGCGGUGAAAUGCGUAGAGAUUGGGAGGAACACCAGUGGCGAAGGCGACUUACUGGGCCGUAACUGACGCUGAGGCGCGAAAGCGUGGGGAGCGAACAGGAUUAGAUACCCUGGUAGUCCACGCGGUAAACGAUGAAUGCUAGGUGUUGCGGGUAUCGACCCCUGCAGUGCCGGAGUAAACACAAUAAGCAUUCCGCCUGGGGAGUACGGCCGCAAGGUUGAAACUCAAAGGAAUUGACGGGG
rnacentral:rRNA from 1 species